rnacentral:rRNA from 1 species
AUUGAACGCUGGCGGUAUGCUUAACACAUGCAAGUCGAACGGAAACGAUGGAAGCUUGCUUCCAGGCGUCGAGUGGCGGACGGGUGAGUAACGCGUAGGAAUCUGCCCAGUAGUGGGGGACAACUCGGGGAAACCCGAGCUAAUACCGCAUAAUCCCUACGGGGAAAAGGAGGCCUCUUCUUGAAAGCUUUCGCUAUUGGAUGAGCCUGCGUGAGAUUAGCUAGUUGGUAGGGUAAAGGCCUACCAAGGCGACGAUCUCUAGCUGGUCUGAGAGGACGAUCAGCCACACUGGGACUGAGACACGGCCCAGACUCCUACGGGAGGCAGCAGUGGGGAAUAUUGGACAAUGGGGGCAACCCUGAUCCAGCAAUACCGCGUGUGUGAAGAAGGCCUUCGGGUUGUAAAGCACUUUCAGCGAGGAGGAAAGGUUGUAGCUUAAUACGCUGCAGCUGUGACGUUACUCGCAGAAGAAGCACCGCUAACU